rnacentral:rRNA from 1 species
AUUGAACGCUGGCGGCAGGCCUAACACAUGCAAGUCGAGCGAGCGGCGGACGGGUGAGUAAUUUCUGUGAAACUGCCUGAUGGAGGGGGAUAACUACUGGAAACGGUAGCUAAUACCGCAUACCAUCAGAUGUGCCCAGAUGGGAUUAGCUCGUGGGUGGGGUAACGGCUCACCUAGACGACGAUCCCUAGCUGGUCUGAGAGGAUGACCAGCCAAACUGGAACUGAGAAACGGUCAAGACUCCUACGGGAGGCAGCAGUGGGGAAUAUUGCACAAUGGGCGCAAGCCUGAUGCAGCCAUGCCGCGUGUAUGAAGAAGGCCUUCGGGUUGUAAAGCACUUUCAGCGGGGAGGCGUUACCCGCAGAAGAAGCACCGGCUAACUCCGUGCCAGCAGCCGCGGUAAUUC